UCAUUCUAGAAACACUUUCCAGUACCUCUACUUUGUUACGACUUAUUCCAACUUUAAAAUGAAAGCGACGGGCAAUAUGUACAUAUUCUAAUUUUUAAUCAUUUUAUUAUAUUAAAUAAAAUUACAUUUAAAUCCACUUUCAUAUUAAUAUUACAAAAAAAAAUCCAUUUAAAUAAAUUUAUUGUAAUCCAUCAUAUUCUUAAUUAUAUUCUACAUCUUGAUCUGAAUUAAUUUUUAUUUUUAAUUUUUAAAUAUUAUUUUUAUUUAAAAAUAUUUUUUUAACAACGAUAUAUAAAAUUUUAAAUUAAGUAAAUUUAAUCGUGGAUUAUCAAUUAUUAGACAGAUUCCUCUAAAUGAACUAAAAUACCGCCAAAUUAUUUAAGUUUCAAUAAAUCCUUACCUACUUUUUUAGUAUUUUUAAUUAAAUUUUA
rnacentral:rRNA from 1 species